rnacentral:rRNA from 1 species
GUGGUUUAAUUCGAAGCAACGCGAAGAACCUUACCAGGUCUUGACAUCCCCUGACAACCCGAGAGAUCGGGCGUUCCCCUUCGGGGGGACAGGGUGACAGGUGGUGCAUGGUUGUCGUCAGCUCGUGUCGUGAGAUGUUGGGUUAAGUCCCGCAACGAGCGCAACCCUCGACCUUAGUUGCCAGCAUUCAGUUGGGCACUCUAAGGUGACUGCCGGCUAAAAGUCGGAGGAAGGUGGGGAUGACGUCAAAUCAUCAUGCCCCUUAUGACCUGGGCUACACACGUGCUACAAUGGGCGGUACAAAGGGUCGCGAACCCGCGAGGGGGAGCCAAUCCCAAAAAGCCGCUCUCAGUUCGGAUUGCAGGCUGCAACUCGCCUGCAUGAAGCCGGAAUCGCUAGUAAUCGCGGAUCAGCAUGCCGCGGUGAAUACGUUCCCGGGCCUU